GCGUUAAAUAGUACGUGAAAUUGUUGCACGGGAAGCACUUGUGACCAGACUUGGGCCGGGGGGCUCAUCAGGGGUUCUCCCCUGUGCACUCCGCCGGGCACAGGCCAGCAUCGGUUCUCGUGGGGGGAUAAGACCGUCAGGAACGUAGCACCCUCCGCCGGGGGUUAUAGCCUGGCGGACGAUACCCCCGUGGUGACCGAGGUUCGCGCUCCGCAUGGAUGCUGGCGUAAUGGUCAUCAGUGACCCGUCUUGUAACACGGACCAAG
rnacentral:rRNA from 1 species